rnacentral:tRNA from 1 species
UAAAGUUGUCGAGUGAGUCGAACACUCAAAGUUUGUUUUCAAGACAAACACUCCCCCGGAUAACAACUAU